rnacentral:rRNA from 1 species
GAUGAACGCUGGCGGCGUGCUUAACACAUGCAAGUCGAACGGGAAACAUUUUAUUGAAGCUUCGGCAGAUUUAGUUUGUUUCCAGUGGCGGACGGGUGAGUAACGCGUGGGUAACCUGCCUCACACUGGGGGAUAACAGUCAGAAAUGGCUGCUAAUACCGCAUAAGCGCACGGGACCGCAUGGUUUUGUGUGAAAAGGAGUGAUCCGCUUUGAGAUGGCCUCGCGUCCGAUUAGCUAGUUGGUGAGGUAACGGCCCACCAAGGCGACGAUCGGUAGCCGGACUGAGAGGUUGAUCGGCCACAUUGGGACUGAGACACGGCCCAG